rnacentral:rRNA from 1 species
AGACAGAGGGCGCGAACGUUGCUCGGAAUCACUGGGCGUAAAGCGGGCGUAGGCGGGUCGGCAAGUCCGGUGUGAAAGCCCUGGGCUCAACCCAGGAAUUGCGCCGGAAACUGCCGGUCUUGGGUGCCGGAGAGGGUGGCGGAAUUCCCGGUGUAGAGGUGAAAUUCGUUGAUAUCGGGAGGAACACCUGUAGCGAAGGCGGCUACCUGGACGGCUACCGACGCUGAGGCCCGAAAGCGUGGGGAGCAAACAGGAUUAGAAACCCUAGUAGUCC